GACAGUGAAGGCAGUGAUGAAGAUUCGGUAAAUUCUAUUUGAGUGGUUGAGCUUUUGAAAAUUUAAAAGAAAAAAAAUGACAAAACAAUCGGAGAGCACCAAACUGGUAUCUAGAAAAUGUUCCUGUCCUGCAUAUUACUUUUUAUUCGAUAGCAAACACAUCAUAGAGUACGAAUAAUUAGCCAUGUUGUAUGUCAAAGAUCAAACAGUUGCCUUCAAUUUUUCCAUGGUGUUAGUUGGUUGAAGAUGGAAGCGUUGCGUGUUAAAGAAAUAUGUCGAUACUUGAGUUUUGAAACUCUAUAUUCUUGGUUGAAGAAUGUGUUUGAUUUUUAAAACUCAAGUAUCGACAUAUUUCUUUAA
rnacentral:misc_RNA from 1 species